CCUUUGACGUUAGCGGCGGACGGGUGAGUAACACGUGGGUAACCUACCUAUAAGACUGGGAUAACUUCGGGAAACCGGAGCUAAUACCGGAUAAUAUUUCGAACCGCAUGGUUCGAUAGUGAAAGANGGUUUUGCUAUCACUUAUAGAUGGACCCGCGCCGUAUUAGCUAGUUGGUAAGGUAACGGCUUACCAAGGCGACGAUACGUAGCCGACCUGAGAGGGUGAUCGGCCACACUGGAACUGAGACACGGUCCAGACUCCUACGGGAGGCAGCAGUG
rnacentral:rRNA from 1 species